UACGUAGGGGGCAAGCGUUGUCCGGAUUCAUUGGGCGUAAAGAGCGUGUAGGCGGCCAGGUAGGUCGGUUGUGAAAACUGGAGGCUCAACCUUCAGAGGUCGACCGAAACCAUCUGGCUAGAGUCCGGGAGAGGAGAGUGGAAUUCCUGGUGUAGCGGUGAAAUGCGCAGAUAUCAGGAAGAACACCCGUGGCGAAAGCGGCUCUCUGGAACGGUACUGACGCUGAGGCACGAAAGCGUGGGGAGCGAACAGG
rnacentral:rRNA from 1 species